AUUUCACUACCACUUAUCGUGGACUAUAUGUUACACCUUAAACACAUAGAAAGCUUUGGCCAUGAGAAAAGGGCAUUUUUUCCUUGGAAAAAUCAUCCAGACACAAUUGUCAACCAGCUGUAUGGAUGAGUCUUAUUGCAGCCUUGCCUGACCAGUUCAGUUUUUAGAGCAGACUGUGCUGGCAGAAGACUGCAGUGUAGUUUUUCUUUCAGCUGAGCUGACCAGCUUUUUGGGCAGGGGGAGAGUCUGCUGAGCUUGCUGCAUCAAUCUAUAUCAGACUCUGCUUUGCUCUGCACUUUGCUCCUUCCCUGCUAACCAGAGGCUAAAAACUGGUGAGGAGAAAAAUCACUUUUUUUCUUCACUCUCCAAAACUGAAAAUUGUAUGUGGUGGGGGAGGAGCAGAUGCCUCCCCCUCUAAUUAUGCUUAUGCUUCCAGCUGCUCCCUAGCUCUGCUGCUCAGCUUGCUUUCACAAUUCUGUUUUCCCAUAGAGAUCCCUAGCCAGCCUUUUAUCUUGGGGUGGCAGACUGGGUAGCAGGCCAGGGAGGCUGCAUAAAAGAAUCAGUAUCAGGUUAUCUCCUGAGCACUUGCCUGAAACUCAUGUUUUUCUGGAGCCUCAGAGAGGGCAGCUGUUACCUUGAACAGUACAAAUGGCAUUUAAAACUACAAAAAAACCAGCAACCUAAUUGGAAGAGAAGUGGUGAAGAGGUGAAAAACAGUCCUAACUGUUGUGAAAUCUAGGAAGGAAAACUAAAUCAAAGGUUGGUUUUGGCUAUGGUUUUGUUGUUGGUAAGAUGUUUAUUUAAAAUAUUUGCCGAACAUAACUUUCACCUUUGUUCUACUUGUAGUAGUCCCAGGUAUUUUUAUGUUAUACUACAGGAAACACUUUUCAUUAUAUAAUAUGUAUAUGCUAUGAAUCAUUCACUGUCCUUGAAUGUAAGAAUUGAUGGCUAUCAUUAUGGUACUUUAAUGCAGUCUGAAAAAU